rnacentral:rRNA from 1 species
AACGAACGCUGGCGGCAUGCCUAACACAUGCAAGUCGAACGAGACCUUCGGGUCUAGUGGCGCACGGGUGCGUAACGCGUGGGAACCUGCCCUUAGGUUCGGAAUAACUCCCCGAAAGGGGUGCUAAUACCGGAUAAUGUCUUCGGACCAAAGAUUUAUCGCCUUUGGAUGGGCCCGCGUUGGAUUAGCUAGUUGGUAGGGUAAAAGCCUACCAAGGCGACGAUCCAUAGCUGGUCUGAGAGGAUGGUCAGCCACACUGGGACUGAGACACGGCCCAGACUCCUACGGGAGGCAGCAGUGGGGAAUAUUGGACAAUGGGCGAAAGCCUGAUCCAGCAAUGCCGCGUGAGUGAUGAAGGCCUUAGGGUUGUAAAGCUCUUUUACCCGGGAUGAUAAUGACAGUACCGGGAGGAUAAGCUCCGGCUAACUCCGUG